UACGUAGGGCGCAAGCGUUAUCCGGAAUUAUUGGGCGUAAAGAGCUCGUAGGCGGUCUGUCGCGUCGGCUGUGAAAACUUGGGGCUCAACCCCAAGCCUGCAGUCGAUACGGGCAGACUAGAGUGCGGUAGGGGAGACUGGAAUUCCUGGUGUAGCGGUGAAAUGCGCAGAUAUUAGGAGGAACACCGGUGGCGAAGGCGGGUCUCUGGGCCGUAACUGACGCUGAGGAGCGAAAGCGGGGGGAGCGAACAGG
rnacentral:rRNA from 1 species